GUCAAAUCAAGUGAUUUCAAUUUCUUCAGUUAAACCUGGCUUCUCUGGCAAUCCAGAUCCCAUUUUACAAAAUGACUUAACAGACGCCUUGCUUCCAGACUAAGAUAUUAAGCAAGAAGCACAAAUAAAAAUGAAAACUGUACAACUAAUGCUGGAGUUAAAUUGAGCAUAAGCAGGACGAUUUGUUUUCACGCAGUAAGACCUCACGGAACCCAUUUAUGAACCCCUGGGGGAGGCACCAUUCAGAUACUAUUAGAUAAGCAGUUUAAAAAUUUUGAGUUAGUUUCUAAACUGUGGCAUGCGGGCUUUCAAUUCAGACCCUCAACAUGCUGGUGCGUUUGAAUCCUUUCCUGUGCAGUAAGCUAAAUCAUCUGCACGUGACGCAGAACACAGCUAACUGGAGUUCAAGGCUGUCCCACGUCAGUCAACCUCCGAGUACCCAGUUCCUCACCGAGAUGGUUUUCCAGGAUACAGCUAAUGAACACAGCCCAAAGUUAAUUUGACUAGCGCUGCCAACAGCAGAAGAGCCUGGCUAACCUACAGACCUCAUCCGAAAAGGGUGAUAAGACGUGGAUGCCAAAUGGCAGAAGCAGAGGAAAUGACUUCAAGGCAUCUGACCCAGUGUCAAGACAUCAGGGCUAAGUGACCUCUAGAUUCUGCAAUGAAGAUAUCCUCACAGGCCCUGUGACAGCCUUGUAGAGAAAUUGGUGGCAAGGAGAGAGGAUGUUUCCAAGCAGUUGAGCACGAAGGUGCUACAGAAAACGAUAAAGUGGUGACAGAACUGAGAGGAGGUUGUUUCCUGCUGACAGGAAUCAGGGGGGACCAACGUGCUUGUUAACCCAUCUGACUCCGCACUGUCAUCUGUGUGAGAAUCUGGUGCUUCUGUGCCAUCGCUCCAGGUCGUUUCCUUGGCAAAGCACUCAUCACUUAGACUGCACUGUGAGUCACAUGCAAAU